UACGUAGGGACCAAGCGUUGUCCGGAGUUACUGGGCGUAAAGCGCGCGUAGGCGGCUUUGCAAGUCGGGUGUGAAAUCCCCAGGCUUAACCUGGGAACUGCAUUCGAGACUGCAUUGCUAGAGUAUGGGAGAGGGAAGUGGAAUUUCCGGUGUAGCGGUGAAAUGCGUAGAUAUCGGAAGGAACAUCAGUGGCGAAAGCGACUUCCUGGACCAAUACUGACGCUCAUGUGCGAAAGCGUGGGGAGCGAACAGG
rnacentral:rRNA from 1 species